GUUGUAUUACUUAGUAGAAUUUGAGUUAGAGUUUAACUCUAGAGUAGGAAGGAAUCUAUUGCAUGAGGUAGGGUUAGUGGAAGUGGGAGGAGUUAGUUUUAAUUUUAUCUUUUUUUCCAAAAAAAUCUCCCUUCAAACCUCACGUUAGCAUCUCUUUCUUUGUUUUUAUUUUUUCUUCUUUCCUUCUUGUGCCACUACUACAUAGGGAUUGGGGGGUUUUUAUUUUUAUUUUAUUUUUUAUUGAUCUUUGGUUUUGGUUUUUGCAAUUGGGGGGUAUUUGUGCGUUGGAUCUUCAAUUUGUUCCUUCCAUGGCUGCAUCAAUUUCACUCCUUUUAGGUAACCUUUUAGUUGGUUCUUUGAUUUUUUAAUUUUGGAGUAUUGGGAUGCAAGUGAUGUUAAAUUUUGUUAAUUGUUGAUUAAUUAGUUUGUUGUGUUUAGGUGAGAGUCUUGAGACGUUUGGCGCUCCUUCAACAUCGUAAUUUUGUGUGGUUG
rnacentral:lncRNA from 1 species